rnacentral:rRNA from 1 species
UACGAAGGGGGCUAGCGUUGCUCGGAAUUACUGGGCGUGAAGCGCCCGUAGGCGGUCUUUUAAGUCGGGGGUGAAAUCCUGGAGCUCAACUCCAGAACUGCCUUCGAUACUGAAAGACUUGAGUCCGGGAGAGGUGAGUGGAACUGCGAGUGUAGAGGUGAAAUUCGUAGAUAUUCGCAAGAACACCAGUGGCGAAGGCGGCUCACUGGCCCGGUACUGACGCUGAGGUGCGAAAGCGUGGGGAGCAAACAGG